GAUGAACGCUGGCGGCGUGCCUAAUACAUGCAAGUCGAGCGAACAGACAAGGAGCUUGCUCCUCUGACGUUAGCGGCGGACGGGUGAGUAACACGUGGAUAACCUACCUAUAAGACUGGGAUAACUUCGGGAAACCGGAGCUAAUACCGGAUAAUAUAUUGAACCGCAUGGUUCAAUAGUGAAAGACGGUUUUGCUGUCACUUAUAGAUGGAUCCGCGCCGCAUUAGCUAGUUGGUAAGGUAACGGCUUACCAAGGCAACGAUGCGUAGCCGACCUGAGAGGGUGUUCGGCCACACUGGAACUGAGACACGGUCCAGACUCCUACGGGAGGCAGCAGUAGGGAAUCUUCCGCAAUGGGCGAAAGCUUGACGGAGCAACGCCGCGUGAGUGAUGAAGGUCUUCGGAUCGUAAACCUCUGUUAUUAGGGAAGAACAAAUGUGUAAGUAACUAUGCACGUCUUGACGGUACCUAAUCAGAAAGCCACGGCUAACUACGUG
rnacentral:rRNA from 1 species